rnacentral:rRNA from 1 species
AGCGAACGCUGGCGGCAGGCCUAACACAUGCAAGUCGAACGAACUCUUCGGAGUUAGUGGCGGACGGGUGAGUAACACGUGGGAACGUGCCUUUUGGUUCGGAAUCACUCAGGGAAACUUGUGCUAAUACCGAAUGUGCCCUUCGGGGGAAAGAUUUAUCGCCAUUAGAGCGGCCCGCGUCUGAUUCGCUAGUUGGUGAGGUAACGGCUCGCCAAGGCGACGUUCAGUAGCUGGUCUGGGAGGAGGACCAACCACACUGGGCCCGAGGCACGGCCCAGUCUGGGACGCAGCGGAGGAGAGUAGUGUCCUACGGGAGAAAGCAUGAUCCAGCGCAGCCGCGUGGGGUAUGACGGGAUUCGGGUAGUAAUCCUAUUUUCUUACGGAAGAAGCGAAAGUGACGGUACCUGGAGAAGAAGCCCCGGCUAACUACGUG